GAUGAACGCUGGCGGCGUGCCUAAUACAUGCAAGUCGAGCGAACAGAUGAGGAGCUUGCUCCUCUGACGUUAGCGGCGGACGGGUGAGUAACACGUGGAUAACCUACCUAUAAGACUGGUAUAACUUCGGGAAACCGGAGCUAAUACCGUAUAAUAUAUUGAAUCGCAUGGUUCAAUAGUUAAAUACGGUUUUGCUGUCACUUAUAGAUGGAUCCGCGCCGCAUUAGCUAGUUGGUAAGGUAACGGCUUACCAAGGCAACGAUGCGUAGCCGACCUGAGAGGGUGAUAGGCCACACUGGAACUGAGACACGGUCCAGACUCCUACGGGAGGCAGCAGUAGGGAAUCUUCCGCAAUGGGCGAAAGCAUGACGGAGCAACGCCGAGUGAGUGAUGAAGGUCUUCGGAUCGUAAAACUCUGUUAUUAGGGAAGAACAAAUGUGUAAGUAACUAUGCACGUCUUGACGGUACCUAAUAAGAAAGCCACGGCUAACUACGUG
rnacentral:rRNA from 1 species